rnacentral:rRNA from 1 species
CCUACGGGGAGCAGCAGUGAGGAAUUUUGGUCAAUGGACGAGAGUCUGAACCAGCCAAGUAGCGUGAAGGAUGACUGCCCUAUGGGUUGUAAACUUCUUUUAUAUGGGAAUAAAAUGUUCCACGUGUGGGAUUUUGUAUGUACCAUAUGAAUAAGGAUCGGCUAACUCCGUGACAGCAGCCGCGGUACUACGGAGGAUCCGAGCGUUAUCCGGAUUUAGUGGGUUUAAAGGGAGCGUAGGUGGAUUGUUAAGUCAGUUGUGAAAGUUUGCGGCUCAACCGUAAAAUGGCAGUUGAAACUGGCAGUCUUGAGUACAGUAGAGGUGGGCGGAAUUCGUGGUGUAGCGGUGAAAUGCUUAGAUAUCACGAAGAACUCCGAUUGCGAAGGCAGCUCACUGGACUGCAACUGACACUGAGGCUCGAAAGUGUGGGUAUCAAACAGGAUUAGAUACCCGGGUAGUC